rnacentral:lncRNA from 1 species
CAACAAGUACCUGGACCCACCGACCGUCCCUAAAGCAAGUGACAAAGGACUUGGUAGUUGGUACCCGAGACCUAAGUUCGAAUUCUAGUUGAUUCACAUUUCCAGCUAAGUUUAUUUAUAAAUGAAAUAAACAAAACAGUUAGCGUGCUAUUUAUCUCUCAAAAAAACAAGUACCUGGAUCCAAUCAAGGGACGACAAUAACAAAAACCUACAAUAAACAUAUACAGUGUAAAAAAAGAUGAUCGACGCUCUCAAUCUUUCUCAUCAUUUUUAUUAUCAAUAUCUAAAUAUCGAUAACAACUCUAAACAAUUUUGGAAAAAUCGGACACUAUAGAAUAUAUAUA